CUUUUCCAACUUGUAGCUGCUACGAUUAAGACGUGUUGAACAUUCCGAAUCUGCAGGCAAUCUCUAAGGCGUAUCCUUGUCGACACCAACAACGGUCUCACUUGUAGGUAUACUGUAGGUAAAACUGGACAGUACGGUAGGUCCCUAAUUUUCGUUUUUAGUUCGAUGAUGCUGCAUUGAAUUCCUGAUGUUUGCUUAAGCCUGCGUCUGAGUUUCGGUCAUGCCUCAUGCCGUCGCCAUUUUGAAAAAACGUGCAAAUUCAAUUUCAUUUACAAUUGAGCUAUUAAUUAUCAAUUAAUAAGUAUUAAUUACAAUUUCCUUUAUAUUGACUGAGGUUAGAUAUAAUUAUAGAUAUAAACAGAUACAUGUAUAUAUAAUUUAUAAAAGUUUACUGUAGUUCAUCAUGCUCCGAGUUAAACGGAGGGCCAGGAACGCUCUAUAUAUUGGCACAGCGGCUGGGACAAGAGGAGCCGCAUCCAGGACGACGACGGCUCACGCCUCUGCCAUACCUACAACGGUGACAACUCACAUGGCCACUGACCUCCCUACUCAGCCUAGCCUGCCAGUCAUCCCUCUAAGCACUCCGCCAGUUGUGGACCCUCAUCAACAGGUUAUGACUAACUUCCCAAUUAACAAAAACAGGGGAGAACAAAUUUCAGAAAGGUACGAGCCACACGAGGCGUAUAUCCAACAAUGUGCAUUUUCAGCUGCAAGAGCCUUAGAAUGAGCUGUGUACUUUGUGAUGCUUUCUUAAUUCAGUGACAUUACACUUUCAAUAUUUGACAAGAAAGACGACGCGAAGAUGACACCAACUAUUUUAUGACUUUUUAAGUCAAAAAUAAAAUUACAAUGUUUUUUAAACCAGCUGUUGAUGCUUGGCCUAAUCAUGAAUAUUGUGCCAGUCAUUUUUAUAUCCAUUGGUCCGAUGGGACAGUAACCGUUAUCAUUUGACCAGUAAAAAUUUUAAUUGAUAGCCCAAGUGACCAGUGAAUAAACAUAAUUAUUUCUAUCCCUAAGGUGGUGGGGUGCAUUAAGGGUUGGAAGCCACCAUCCAAGGUAAAAUGCUUUGAGUUAGUCCCUUGUGAACAUUGAUAAUAAUUGCAUGAAGUGGCACACACUUCCGUGGGGGAAAAUUCUGGAUUUGCUCAUAUGUAUGUACUUAAGCUACUAUGUAGUUGCACUUGCGAGAAGUCAUAAUAUGAGUACCAAAGGAAAUGUGGUUAUUAAGGGCGAGUUGUCCUGAUUUACCAUGUUCUAAUUUAGGAUCUGAACUACUGUAAUAUUUCACCAAGUUCAUAAAACAAAUGAGUACAUAAACGUAUGAUAAGAUGCUUCCAUUGGUCAUGAAAUUCAAGCUAGAUAUGGAAAGAAAUAAGGUCAUUUUCAUUACAGGAUUUUUUGUAUGUAUGUUGAAAAUUUUCUUUAGAAACAUAUCUUUAACUAGAACUGUCCUAAUGGACUAAUACCCCCGCGGGACAUAUAAGAUGGUGGGAAUUAUCUAAUGCAAGCACAUUGGAUAUUUUCACAUUAUCUACAGGGCAGUCAAUGUGAAUGCAGAAGUGUAUAUUCUACAGUACAGCAGUACAUGAAAUAUUAAAAACAUGCUUAAUAUAAACAAUGAAUACUCUUUGGCAUAUUUUAGGCUGUAUGAUUGCAAAUCCCUGGUCAACUCUUCUAGUCUUUAGUUUAUAUUCACUUUGUUAAAGAUCAUUAUGUUAUGCCAACUUUAUUUUGUCAUUGAUUUUGUCAGUAAAUAAAUGACAUUAGCUCAAGUA